rnacentral:rRNA from 1 species
AGUGAACGCUGGCGGCGUGCUUAACACAUGCAAGUCGAACGAGAACGGAUUAUAGCUUGCUAUAAUUGUCAGCUAAGUGGCGCACGGGUGAGUAAUGUAUAGGUAAUAUGCCUCUUACUAAGGGAUAUCAAAUGGAAACGUUUGCUAAUACCUUAUACUCCUUAUUAACAUAAGUUAAUAAGGGAAAGAUUUAUUGGUAAGAGAUUAGCCUGUAUUGUAUCAGUUAGUUGGUGGGGUAAUGGCUUACCAAGACUAUGACACUUAACUGGUUUGGGAGGAUGAUCAGUGCCACUGGAACUGAGACACGGUCCAGACUCCUACGGGAGGCAGCGGUGGGGAAUAUUGUACAAUGGACGGAAGUCUGAUGCAGCAACGCCGCGUGGAGGAUGACACAUUUCGGCGCGUAAACUCCUUUUAUAUGAGAAGAUAAUGACGGUAUUAUAUGAAUAAGCACCGGCUAACUCCGUGCCAGCCGCCGCGGUAACAC